CAAUAGCAUAUAUUAACGUUGUUGCAGUUGAAAAGCUCGUAGUUGAACUUUUGGUAGGAGCGACCUGGCCUUGGGCGCAUGCCCUUGUUUGCCGUGUGUCGUAUCUGGCCAUCCUUUUCCGUUUCGGCGGGAAUCUUUUACUGUGAGUAAACUGGAGUGCUCAAAACAAGACGUUUGUUUGGUACAUUAAAGCAUGGAAUAAUAAGAUAGGACCUGGUUACUAUUUUGUUGGUUUGCAUAGCUAGGUAAUGAUUAACAGGGACAGUUGGGGGUAUUCGUAUUUAAUUGUCAGAGGUGAGAUUCUUGGAUUUAUGAAAGACGAACGACUGCGAAAGCAUUUACCAAGGAUGUUUUCAUUAA
rnacentral:rRNA from 1 species